UACGGAGGGUGCAAGCAUUAAUCGGAUUUAUUGGGCGUAAAGGGCGCGUAGGCGGGGAUAUAAGUCAGAUGUGAAAUCCUGGGGCUCAACCUCAGAACUGCAUUUGAAACUGUAUCUCUUGAGGGUAGGAGGAGAAAACGGAAUUCCACAAGUAGCGGUGAAAUGCGUAGAUAUGUGGAAGAACACCGGUGGCGAAGGCGGUUUUCUAUCUUAUUCCUGACGCUGAUGCGCGAAAGCAAGGGGAUCAAACAGG
rnacentral:rRNA from 1 species